rnacentral:rRNA from 1 species
UACGUAGGGCGCAAGCGUUGUCCGGAAUUAUUGGGCGUAAAGAGCUCGUAGGCGGCUUGUCACGUCGAUUGUGAAAGCCCCGAGGCUUAACCUCGGGUCUGCAGUCGAUACGGGCUAGCUAGAGUGUGGUAGGGGAGAUCGGAAUUCCUGGUGUAGCGGUGAAAUGCGCAGAUAUCAGGAAGAACACCCGUGGCUAAGGCGGCUCUCUAGUACGGUACUGACGCUGAGACGCGAAAGCGUGGGGAGCGAACAGG